rnacentral:rRNA from 1 species
GCUAUGGACAGGAAUGUGGUAGGGGAGCAUUGCAUGCAGCGGAGAAGCAUGACCGAAAGGGCAUGUGGAGCGCAUGGAAGAGAGAAUGCCGGCGUGAGUAGCGGCACGUGGGUGAGAAUCCCACGCACCGAUGGCCCAAGGUCUCCAGAGGAAGGCUCGUCCUCUCUGGGAUAGUCGGGACCUAAGGCGAGGCCGAAAGGCGUAGCCGAUGGACGACGGGUGGAUAUUCCCGUACCCGAUGUGUGGCGAUGGAGUGACGGAGAAGGCUCAGGCAACCAGCUGGUGGAAUAGCUGGGGCAAGCGAGAUACCUGCGCACCAGGGAAAUCCGGUGCGCAUAAGGGGAAGGCGCGAUGCAUACGGAAAGCUGCGGCAAGUACGGAAAAGCUGAGAGCAGGCUUCCAGGAAAAGCUUCUAGCACAACACACAUCGGCCCGUACCGAAAAUGGACACACAUGGGCAAGGAGAGAAUCCUGAGGUGAGCGAGAGAACUAUAGCUAAGGAACUCUGCAAAAUGACCCCGUAACCUAGGGAGAAGGGGUGCUCCAGAAAUGGAGCCGCAGUAAAACGGCCCAAGCGACUG